rnacentral:rRNA from 1 species
UACGUAGGAGGCGAGCGUUGUCCGGAGUUACUGGGCGUAAAGCGUGCGUAGACGGUUAUGUAAGUCGGGUGUGAAAGCCCCCGGGCUCAACCUGGGAAUUGCAUUCGAGACUGUGUAGCUAGGGUACGGAAGAGGGAAGCGGAAUUUCAGGUGUAGCGGUGAAAUGCGUAGAUAUCUGAAGGAACACCAGUGGCGAAAGCGGCUUCCUGGUCCAGUACCGACGUUCAGGCACGAAAGCGUGGGGAGCAAACAGG